rnacentral:misc_RNA from 1 species
AAGCAAGAUGAUGACUUCCUUGAGGGGAAACUGUGGGGGGAGCCAUGGCAAUCAUGUUGCUUGGACCUUGACCUGGCUGGUUGUUCCAUGGUGACUGUGACCAUCCAGGGGGGUUCCCAGCUGGGUUCAAUGGUCGAUCUGGAUAUGCUGUAGGAGGGACAGACUGAGGCAAUGAAGACAUUGCUGGUCUGACAACUUGCGGAAACCCUGUUGGAUUUGGUUGGCCCUGAGAAAAUUGAGGUGGAGUCAUAUUGGAUUGAGGUGGUGUAGACCCUAAAGAUGGUAUAGGAUGUCUAAGUCCACCAAUUUGUCCAACAUGAGAGGAAGGCAUAUAUGGCUGCUGCAUUAGUGGUG